AUUGCUUCUCAGCCUUUUGGCUAAGAUCAAGUGUAGUAUCUGAAUGCUAGAGCUGCUAGAAAGAAAAAUUAAAGGGUAUAAAAUUUUCAUAAGAAAUAAUGUAU
ensembl:snRNA U2 U2 spliceosomal RNA